UAUCAGGAACAUGGCAGCGUCCUGAGUCCUGUUGGGGGGAAUACGGCACAACUGAGCACCUUCAGCAUCAGAGCAGGAAAACUGAGAGCCACCGGCCGCACUCGGAGGAGGGUGGGGGGCUCAGGGACGGCUACGAAUAACGCCCGCUAGCGAUUUUACAGGUCCUGUGAAAAGAUGAAUGUUGUCAAAGAGAACAAAGACUUGGCCUGUUUCUACACCACCAAACACUCCUGGAGGGGAAAGUACAAGCGGGUCUUCUCAGUGGGGACACAUGGCAUUACCACUUACAACCCAACCACGCUAGAAGUAACAAAUCAGUGGCCUUAUGGAGACAUCUGCAGUAUCGGUCCAGUAGGAAAAGGUCAGGGGACCGAGUUCAACCUCACAUUCCGCAAAGGCAGCGGCAAGAAGUCGGAAACGCUCAAGUUUUCGACCGAGCAUCGGACAGAGCUGCUCACAGAAGCACUGAGAUUCAGAACAGAUUUUUCAGAAGGAAAGAUUACAGGCAGGCGAUACAACUGCUACAAGCAUCACUGGAGCGACACGCGGAAGUCGGUGUGUUUAGAGGUUCGGCCCGGCGGCAUCGACCAGAUCGACCCCCACACUAACCGAGUGGUUUGCUCCUACGACUACCGGAACGUGGAAGGCUUUGUGGAAGUCUCUGACUACCAAGGGGGGUUCUGCAUCCUUUACGGUGGUUUCAGCAGGCUGCAUCUGUUUGCCUCGGAGCACCGGGACGAAAUCAUCAGCAGCGCCAUCGAACAUGCCGGGAACUUCAUCGGCAUCACGCUACGGCUGAGGAAGGAGGCCCUGACCUUCGAGGCUUUCGUGACCGACAGGUUGGGGAAGUACAGCUCGGACGAGAGCAUCACUUCUCUGGCAGAGUUCGUGGUGCAGAAGAUCACCCCUCGACACCCGGAGCCUGUAAAGCGCAUCCUGGCCCUGACAGAGACGUGUCUAGUGGAGAGAGAUCCAGCUUCAUACAACAUAGUGACCAUUAAACCCUUUGGAGAGGUGUUUGCUCUCAUCUGUGACGCCGACAACCCUCAGGUGUUCACAGUUGAAUUCAUUAGAGGUCAGAUCAGGAAGUUCUCCUCCACUGAAAGGGACUCGCUCUUGGCCAGCCUGCUCGAUGGAGUCCGUGCAUCAGGCAACAGGGACGUCUGCGUCAAGAUGGCGCCCACGCAGCGGGGGCAGAGGUGGGGCUUGCUGAGCAUGCCCGUGGACGAGGAGGUGGAGAGUUUACAUCUCAAAUUCCUGGCAGCACCUCCGAAUGGAAACUUCGCAGACGCAGUGUUCAGAUUUAACGCCAACAUAUCCUAUAGCGGAGUGCUGCAUGCAGUAACCCAAGAUGGGCUUUUCUCCGAGAACAAAGAGAAGCUCAUCAACAACGCCAUCCUGGCUCUUUUAACUCAGGAGGCCGAGCUGCCUGCUCUGAACGCCGAGCUGGAAAGCCAUUUUCAGGCCAUCCGGCGCUUGGUGGCCUCGAAGGCCGGCUUCCAGGCUUUCACCCAGCUGCCGAAGUCUGGUCAAGGGUCUGGACUCACAGAUGCAACGUUCAGGGAAAAGCUGGGAGUGAAGACGGUCAAAGCUUUAAAACGGAACAACAACGGUGUUACACAUGCUGCUAUAGACAUGCUCUGUGCCCUCAUGUGUCCGAUGCACGAUGAUUAUGACCUGAGGCAGGAGCAGCUGAACAAGGCGUCUCUGCUGUCCUCCAAGAAGUUCCUGGAAAACCUUCUUGAAAAAUUCAUCACCAACGUGGACCAUGGAACGGGAGCUCUGGUCAUCAGCUCCCUGCUGGACUUCCUGACCUUCGCCCUUUGCGCCCCCUACAGUGAAACCACGGAGGGGCAGCAGUUCGACAUGCUGCUGGAGAUGGUCGCCUCGAACGGACGAACCCUCUUCAAACUCUUCCAGCAUCCCUCGAUGGCGAUAGUGAAGGGAGCCGGCUUGGUGAUGAAAGCCAUCAUUGAGGAGGGCGAUAAGGACAUCGCCACUAAAAUGCAGGAGCUGGCCUUGAGUGAGGGCGCCCUGCCGAGGCACCUGCACACGUCGCUGUUCACCAUCAGCUCAGACCAGCGGAUGCUCACCAACAGGCAGCUGAGUCGUCACCUGGUGGGACUGUGGACGGCAGAGAACCCCGUGGCCAUGAACCUCCUGAAGAGGAUACUGCCGACGGGGUUGUUGGCUUACCUCGACAGUCCGGACGCCGUCCCGGAGAAAGACGUGGACAGAAUGCACAUCCGGGACAACUUGAAAAUUGCAACGGACCAACUAAAUCGGAACAAAGUGCCCGAGUGGCAGCGAAUAGCAGGCAAAGCAGCCAAAGAGGUGGAGAAGUUUGCCAAGGAGAAAGCCGACCUGGUGCUGAUGCACUGGAGGGAUAAGAUGGGCAUCGCCCAGAAGGAGCAGGACAGAAAUAACCUGAAUCCCAACCAAAAGCCUGUCAUCCUGAGAAAGAGACGGCAGAGGAUAAAGAUUGAGUCAAACUGGGAGCUUUUCUACUACAGAUUCCAGCUCGACCACGCUCGCUCCAACCUCAUCUGGAACUUGAAAACGAGGGAGGAGCUGCGGGACGCUCUGGAGGGGGAGAUGCGAGCUUUCAGCGUGGACCGCGAGCUGGGCAGCGCCACCGUCAUCUCCUGGAACCACCAGGAGUUCGAGGUGAGAUACGAGUGCCUUUCAGAUGAGAUAAAGAUCGGGGAUUAUUACCUGCGUCUGCUGCUGGAGGAGGAUGAAAAUGAAGACUCGAGCGCCAUCAAGAGAUCGUAUGAGUUUUUCAACGAGCUCUACCACCGCUUUUUGCUGACACCCAAAGUUACGAUGAAGUGCCUGUGCCUGCAGGCGCUCGCUAUAGUUUACGGGAAGUGUUACGAGGAGAUCGGCCCCUUCACCGACACUAAAUACAUUGUGGGCAUGCUGGACAGGUGCACAGACAAACUGGAAAGAGACAGACUCAUUCUCUUCCUCAACAAACUCAUCCUCAACCGGAAAAAUGUGAAGGAGGUGAUGGACUCAAACGGAGUUCGUAUCUUAGUGGACCUGCUCACCUUGGCCCAUCUCCACACCAGCAGAGCCACAGUGCCGCUGCAGACCAACGUGUUGGAGGCUGCACCAGACAUGAAGAGGGAGAGCGAGAAGGAGUGGUACUUCGGAAACGCAGACAAAGAAAGAAGAGGACCUUUCAGUUUCGAGGAGAUGCAGGAGUUCUGGACCACUGGUGUCCUGACAGCAAAGACCCGCUGCUGGGCUCAGGGGAUGGACGGGUGGCGCCCCCUGCAGGCCAUUCCUCAGCUGAAGUGGUGCCUCCUGGCCUCAGGACAGGCCGUGAUGAACGAGUCGGACCUGGCGACGCUCAUCCUCAACAUGCUCAUCACCAUGUGCUCCUACUACCCCAGCAGGGACCAAGACAACGCGAUCAUCCGUCCUUUACCUAAAAUCAAGAGGAUGAUCACCGACAACGCCUGCCUCCCACACAUCGUCCAGUUGCUGUUGACCUUUGACCCCAUUCUUGUGGAGAAGGUGGCCAAUGUUCUCUUCCUGGUGAUGCAGGACAACCCGAAUCUGCAGCGCCUCUAUUUAACCGGCGUCUUCUUCUUCAUCAUGAUGUACACGGGCUCCAACGUGCUUCCUGUGGCCAGGUUCUUGAAAUACACCCACCUAAAGCAAGCCUUCAGAUCAGAGGAGUCCAAAGGUCAGGACAUCGUGCAGCGCAGCGUUUUGGGGCCGGUGCUGCCGGAGGCCAUGGUGUGUUACCUGGAGAACUACGAGGCCGAGCGCUUCUCCGAGAUAUUCCUCGGAGAAUUUGACACGCCGGAGGCCAUUUGGAGCAGCGAGAUGAGGCGGAUGAUGAUCGAGAAGAUAGCAGCGCACGUCGCCGACUUCAGCCCUCGGCUGCAGAGCAACACCCGGGCCCUCUACCAGUACUGCCCCAUCCCCGUGAUCAGCUUCCCUCAGCUCGACUUCGAGCUCUUCUGCAACAUCUACUACCUCAGGCAUCUGUGCGACACGACCCGCUUCCCCAACUGGCCCAUCCGGGAUGCCGUGAAGCUGCUUAAAGAUACACUUGAAGCUUGGAAGAGGGAAGUGGAGAAGAAACCUCCCUCCAUGUCUGUGGACGACGCCUACGAAGUCCUCAACCUCCCCAAAGGACAGGGACAGCAUGAGGAGAGUAAAAUCAGGAAAGCUUACUUCAGGCUCGCACAGAAAUACCAUCCAGAUAAAAACCCAGAGGGCAGGGACAUGUUUGAGAAAGUUAACAAAGCCUACGAGUUCCUCUGCACGAAGUCCGCCCGGAUCGUGAACGGCCCCGAUCCAGAGAACAUCAUCCUCAUCCUCAAAGCCCAGAGCAUCCUCUUCAACCGGCACCGGCAGGAGCUCGAGCCCUACAAGUACGCCGGCUACCCCAUGCUCAUCAAAACCAUCACCAUGGAGACGGCGGACGAUCAGCUCUUCUCCAAAACCUCGCCUCUCCUCCCCGCCGCCGCCGAGCUGGCCUUCCACACGGUCAACUGCUCGGCUCUGAACGCCGAGGAGCUGCGCCGCGAGAACGGCAUCGAGGUCCUGCUGGAGGCUCUCUCUCGGUGUGUUGCUGUAUUGACUGCAUCAAGCAAGCCUGAAGACAUGGCUGUGCAGGUGUGCGGGCACAUCUGCAAGUGCUACAGCGUUGCAGCGCAGUUCGAGGAGUGCAGAGAGAAGAUUGUCGAAAUGCCCAACAUCAUCCGAGACCUCUGCCACAUCCUGUACUACGGGAAGGGUCUUCCGAAAACUGCAGCCCUGGCGGUUCAGUGCGUGAGCUCCUUCGCGGUGGAUUACUUCCUGCAGACCCACCUGUAUCACGCCGGCGUGCUCUGGCACCUGCUGGUCCACCUCUUCAACUACGACUACACCCUGGAGGAGAGCGGCGUGCAGGCCAGCCAGGAGACCAACCAGCAGGAGGUCGCCAACAGCCUGGCCAAGCUCAGCAUGGUGGCCCUCAGCCGCCUGGGCGGCUACAUGCAGAUCCCCCACAGCCCCGACGGAAACACCCCCGUGUCGGAGACCAACGGCGUGGAGGGCACGCCCCCGGAGAACCCCACCAUCCGCAAGAGCCUGGCCGCCAUGCUGACGCCGUACAUCUCCAGGAAGCUGGGGACGGGAACGCCCGCCGAGGUGUUGAAGCUGCUGAACAGCAACUCGGAGAAUCCCUACCUGAUCUGGAACAACGGAACCAGAGCGGAGCUGCUGGAGUUUCUGGAGGGUCAACAGGAGGGGAACAUCAAGAGGGGAGAGAACGAUAAAAGCUUCGGCGCAGAGUUUUUGUUCUCCGAUCACAGCAAGGAGCUGAUAGUGGGAGAGAUCUUUGUUCGAGUCUAUAACGAACAGCCGACUUUCCCACUGGAGUUUCCUAAGGCGUUCGCGGCCAGUCUGCUGGACUACGUCGGCUCUCAGGCUCAGUACCUCCACACCCUGCUGGCCAUGAGUCAGAGCAACAAGGUGGAGUCCCAGCAGCACGCCGAGCGUCUGCGCUUCGCUGAGAUGGCUCUGGAGGCUCUGCGCAACGUCAUCAAGAACAACCCCGGGUCGGAGUCGGAGUGCAUCGGUCACUUCAAGCUGCUCUUCUCGUUGCUGCGGGUUCACGGAGCGGGCAGAGUGCAGCAGCUGGUCUUGGAGGUUGUGAAUACAGUGACGUCCAACCAGGAAUGUGUGAGCAACAUUGCCGAGUCCAUGGUGCUGUCCAACCUCCUGUUACUGCUGCACUCGCUCCCCUCCAGCAGGCAGAUGGUGCUGGAGACUCUCUAUGCACUGACUUCAAAUACAAAGAUUGUCAAAGAGGCUAUGGCCAAAGGCGCUCUCAUCUAUCUGCUGGACCUCUUCUGUAACUGCACACACCCGCAGGUCCGCACGCAGACGGCAGAGCUCUUCUCCAAGAUGACCUCAGACAAGCUGGUUGGGCCAAAGGUGCGUCUCACCCUGAUACGCUUCCUCCCGGGGGUGUUCAUGGACGCCAUGCGGGACAACGCCGAGGCGGCCGUGCACAUAUUCGAGGGGACGCACGAAAACCCCGAGCUCAUCUGGAACGACAGCUCGAGGGAGAAGGUGUCCACCACUGUGCGGGAGAUGAUGCUGGAGCACUUUAAGCAGCAGAAGGAUAAUCCUGAUGUGAACUGGAGACUGCCAGAGGACUUCACAGUGGCUUACGGAGCCGGGCAGGGCGAACUGGAAGUGGGCGGAGUCUUCUUGCGGAUCUUCAUUGCUCAGCCUGGCUGGGUGUUGCGCAAACCUCGAGAGUUCCUGGUGUCUCUCCUGGAAACGCUCACCGAGCUGCUGGAGAAGAACAACCCCAACGGCGAGGCUCUGGAGACCGUCACCACGGCGGCGGUCUGCCUGUUCAGCGCUCAGACGCAGCUGGCCGACCAGGUUCCUCCUCUGGGCCACCUGCCGCGCAUCCUGGCCGCGCUCAACCACAAGAACAACGCCGUGCCCAAGAGCUCCAUCCGCCUGAUCCACGUGCUCUCAGACAACGAGCUGUGUGUGCGCUCCAUGGCUGCUCUGGAGACCAUCGGCCCGCUGAUGACUGGGAUGAAAUGCCGGGCAGACAUGGCCGGUCUGGCCUGUGAAGCUCUCAACCGCAUGUUCCAGAAGGAGCAGACGGAGCUGGUGGCGCAGGCUCUGAGAGUGGAGCUGGUGCCGUACCUCCUCAAACUGCUGGAAGGAAUCGGCCUGGAGACGCUGGACAACCCCUCAGCCACCAAGGCUCAGAUCGUCAAAGCUCUCAAAUCCAUGACUCGCAGUCUGCAGUACGGAGAGCAGGUGAAUGAAAUCCUGGCGAAGUCCUCGGUGUGGAGCACCUUCAAAGACCAGAAGCACGACCUUUUCAUCACAGAGUCUCAGACUGCCGGCUACGUGACAGGGGUUUCCACUCCUUCUCUCCUGGCCGCCAGCAGCCCUCUGCGAGGCGGGCUCUAGACUCCUGAGCCGGGCCCUCGCAGCCCUCCUCUCUCUUGCUCUUAAUGCAGGUCCAGGAGUCGCAGGUUACCUUACAGCAGGAACGGGCACCACAGUGAUGUCCAGCGUCCCACCCCCCGUGGACAACGACAGCGGAGACUAAGGCUGAAGGACACUGGCACAGCCACGCCGGGGCACGCCGUCCGCCCUCAGAGAGGGAGCGAUCGGCCCCCCCGUCACGCAGGGGACGGACAAAAACAGCCCCAACUCAAAACCCAGCGGGGGGAGAAGCGGACCGUCACUCUCCUCCCCCGACCGCCCAACUUUUACAAACGGCACUCGAGUCUUGGAAAGCGCUUCGUUUUAACAGAUGACCACAUUUUUGUUUCUGUGCUACUUUUUUCUUGUUUCUCCCGGUGAAAUGAAAA